rnacentral:rRNA from 1 species
GAUGAACGCUGGCGGCGUGCCUAAUACAUGCAAGUCGAGCGAACAGAUGAGGAGCUUGCUCCUCUGACGUUAGCGGCGGACGGGUGAGUAACACGUGGAUAACCUACCUAUAAGACUGGGAUAACUUCGGGAAACCGGAGCUAAUACCGGAUAAUAUAUUGAACCGCAUGGUUCAAUAGUGAAAGACGGUUUUGCUGUCACUUAUAGAUGGAUCCGCGCCGCAUUAGCUAGUUGGUAAGGUAACGGCUUACCAAGGCAACGAUGCGUAGCCGACCUGAGAGGGUGAUCGGCCACACUGGAACUGAGACACGGUCCAGACUCCUACGGGAGGCAGCAGUAGGGAAUCUUCCGCCAUGGGCGAAAGCCUGACGGAGCAACGCCGCGUGAGUGAUGAAGGUCUUCGGAUCGUAAAACUCUGUUAUUCGGGAAGAACAAAUGUGUAAGUAACUAUGCACGUCUUGACGGUACCUAAUCAGAAAGCCACGGCUAACUACGUG